rnacentral:lncRNA from 1 species
AUUUACAACACCUUCGAAAGGUGUGUUCUUGACACUUGCAAGACAUUUCUUGCAAAUACCCCUUCCAAUGUUCAUCCUUUCAUAAAGAAAGUUUGUUCCCUUGGAGUUUAAUUUUAUCUUCUUUAUUUGACUUUCACCUUAGACUACAUUAGUCAUGAUCCCUAAACUCCCACUAUCUCUCUUGAAACCUUUUUCAAUUGUGUUAUACACAUCAAACAAUUUGGAGGCUUGGUUAUUGUUCACUACAUGUUUUACAAUAAAACUUAGUGAACCAUUAGGAUAGGGAAACAAAGGUGAAGUCCUUGCCUAGUUUCCGUCUCGU